rnacentral:rRNA from 1 species
AUUGAACGCUGGCGGCAUGCUUUACACAUGCAAGUCGAACGGCAGCGCGGGCUUCGGCCUGGCGGCGAGUGGCGAACGGGUGAGUAAUGCAUCGGAACGUGCCCAGUAGUGGGGGAUAGCCCGGCGAAAGCCGGAUUAAUACCGCAUACGACCUGAGGGUGAAAGCGGGGGACCGAAAGGCCUCGCGCUAUUGGAGCGGCCGAUGUCGGAUUAGCUAGUUGGUGGGGUAAAGGCUUACCAAGGCGACGAUCCGUAGCUGGUCUGAGAGGACGACCAGCCACACUGGGACUGAGACACGGCCCAGACUCCUACGGGAGGCAGCAGUGGGGAAUUUUGGACAAUGGGGGCAACCCUGAUCCAGCCAUGCCGCGUGCGGGAAGAAGGCCUUCGGGUUGUAAACCGCUUUUGUUCGGGAAGAAAUCCUCUGGGCUAAUACCCCGGGGGGAUGACGGUACCGGAAGAAUAAGCACCGGCUAACCACGUG